AACGCACAUUGCGCCCUCUGGUAUUCCGGGGGGCAUGCCUGUUCGAGCGUCAUUACAACCCUCAAGCUCUGCUUGGUAUUAAGCUUCACCUGAAAAGGCGGGCUCUAAAAUCAGUGGCGGUGCCAUUCGGCUUCAAGCGUAGUAAUUUUUCUCGCUUUGGAUGACCGGUUGCGUGCCUGCCAUAACCCAAAAUUUUAUCAAAGGUUGACCUCGGAUCAGGUAGGGAUACCCGCUGAACUUAA
rnacentral:misc_RNA from 1 species